GGGCAGAGCAGCAGAGAUCCCCUCCCUGAUUUCCAAAAACUCAAAAUGCAAAUGAAGCACAAGGAAGGGAGCAGGGCCUGGCCUGGCAGGGCCCCCUAGGGCAGCUUCCAGAAGCUUCUCCUUUUUGGAGCUGGGAAUAAAUCAGGGCUGCAAUGAAGGGAAAGAAUUAAUUCGCCAAAAAUUAAUGCCCUGAAGAUGCCGUCAGGAUUCAGAAGAAGUUAACAGAAAAUAAGAAAAAUAAUUUCUGUAUUUCUCAAGCCCGUAUGCAUUUGAAAACUGGUAUAGAUAGAAAUCUUGUUACAAGGCUGGCUCUCCUUUCUUCCCAUUGACCAUGAGAGAGAUUUGUGUCAGGAGGGAAAAAAAUGGAAAAUGACAACCAAGGUGCACUGGCAGAACAUUUCCCUCCCAUCUCACUAAAAAUAUUGAUUAAACAAAGCAAAGCCUGCGGAAGGUGGUGGAAAACAAGGCCAAAGAAGCUAAACAUUGAUAAACUUAAUUAAAUUUCUAAUGAAAACAGAGGCGGCCUGUGGUGAUUACUCUGUGUAACUGAGACUAACACACCAAUUAGGGUAAUUCAUCCCUUGGUGCUCUAAACACAGCUCGAAACGGAACCCGUGCUUCUUCUCACGUGUCACCAGCCCAUUCCUGGCCCCUGCAGCUCCUGGCGUGGCCAGGGGAAGCUGCAGAGACUUUUCCACAGGAGCAGCUCCAGGAAUUUGUUUCCUUUCCUUCAUCUCCCACACUCAAUGAAACCACUGCAAAUAUUAUU